UACGUAGGGUGCGAGCGUUGUCCGGAAUUAUUGGGCGUAAAGGGCUCGUAGGCGGUCUGUCGCGUCGGGAGUGAAAACUCAGGGCUUAACCCUGAGCCUGCUUCCGAUACGGGCAGACUAGAGGUAUGCAGGGGAGAACGGAAUUCCUGGUGUAGCGGUGGAAUGCGCAGAUAUCAGGAGGAACACCGGUGGCGAAGGCGGUGGUCUGGGCCGGCACUGACGCUGAGGAGCGAAAGCGUGGGGAGCGAACAGG
rnacentral:rRNA from 1 species